UACAGAGGUCUCAAGCGUUGUUCGGAUUCAUUGGGCGUAAAGGGUGCGUAGGUGGCGCCGUAAGUCGGGUGUGAAAUUUCGGAGCUUAACUCCGAAACUGCAUUCGAUACUGCCGUGCUUGAGGGCAGUAGAGGGUGGUGGAAUUCCGGGUGUAGUGGUGAAAUGCGUAGAUAUCCGGAGGAACACCAGUGGCGAAAGCGGCCACCUGGACUGCACC
rnacentral:rRNA from 1 species